CUGAAGCCAAGAGGUAGCCAGGAAGUUUGCAGUGAUACUUUUGGUCCUUCUCUUGUUGAGUUUUGGCCAGAAAUCUGUCAUACUCAAUAAAACUGUCAAGCAUAGAUAACGUUAACGUAGAUAACGUUAACAAUGCUCUAAUUUGCUCGUCCCAGAGGCUGGGGAGGAGGGCAGCCCUGAAAUAGAACAGAAAAAGAAAUAUGUUCAGGCCACUGAAGCUGGGGUUGGCCCAGAUCCUUGCGGUGAUGUGGACGGAGAAAUCACCCAGAGAGGAGCAGGCAAGCAGGGACAAUAAUUGCUCAGCUUCCACAGGGCUCCACCCUGGCUGGAGGCAUCUUUCUUCCUUCUGGAAGACCUCGUCUGUGGAAUACCAGAGGCUGUGGAUAUUCAGGAAACUUUCCGCUCACGAGAGUGGCUGGAGGUGCAACAAAACCAUCACUUCCCUCCUACAGGCGAUUAAAAGAGCCUUUUUUGUUAAUUAAUUAAAAGAGCCUUUUUUAUUAAUGUAACUUUUCUGAGCUUCCUUGGAGCUGGGCUCUGGCAGCCAAGAUCUGCAUUUCAG